rnacentral:misc_RNA from 1 species
UUUCCGUAGGUGAACCUGCGGAAGGAUCACUAGUGAUUUAAAUACUUGUAGUCUUCUCACGAAGCUCAAGUCCCUUCACAUCCACAUACACCCUGUGCUCUUGAUAACUGAAUGCGUAAAAACAUUCGGUUUCAACCCCCUUUUUAUAAACUCAGUAUAAUGAAUGUAAACAAGUUUUAAUAAACAUAAUAAAACUUUCAACAACGGAUCUCUUGGCUCUC